rnacentral:lncRNA from 1 species
UUUUUUUUUUUUUUUUUUUUUACCAGUGACAAAAGACUUAGUCUAUAGCCCUUAGAGCCUUUUGACGCGAACUCCAACAUUUGACAGAUGGAGGAGCCCGGUUACUCAGCUCCAAUCGCUACAGGACCACGCACUCAUAGCAACUACUACCUUUUGACGCGAAAAUCGACACUUUAGGUGAAGAUUCCCGGUUACUCAGUAGUAAUCACUAGCGGAGUACAGUCAACUCUUAUUUACAACCAUACAGCACAAUAACUAAAAAUAAAAAAUAACAGCAGCCAGCCUCAAAUUUCCAAAUAUGGAGAACCAAAAUUAAUAACUGGACCAAUUCACAUGAAAAAUGCCAACUAUCAUUCUUUAUGCCUAGAAAAGUUAACCAAAAAUUAGAAAAGUCAAGCAAUUACUGAUAUUCACCAGAGGGAUGUUCCUGAACUCAACCACAUCAACUUGAUACCUUUUUAUUAAUAAACUUGGCAAUAGCAGAAUUAGAGACAACAAUCCAGUGUCAAACUUGGUAUUCAUAUGAAGACUGACCACUAGAAAAAGAAAAGAAAAGAAAACAAACGAACAAGGAGAUAAAUAUCAAACUAAAACAAAGGAAAAACCUCUAGAAACUAAAAACAAAAAUACUAGCACCCCAACUGAUCCCCCCACACCUAAUUCACACAUUGCCCUCAAUGUGAUAAAUAAACAAUAAUAGUAAGCAAAAGAGCAACGGUACUUCCCUGAAAUCACGGGGACCAUGGCGGGGCCACAGCAGUGAGGGAGGCGGGGAAUGGUUGAGUUGGGUUGGAGUAGGCUAAGGUCAAGAGAUUCUGGACCUAGAAGAGAACCUUGAUCUCACUAUUGCCGCUAACAAGUAACCCAAUCAAUAGAAACAAAAUUGCCAACAUAUAGAGGAACAAGUAAAUGCAGAUCAGUAGAAAUCCAUAUCCUCUAAUGAAGUCAACAAUCAACCCAAUAAGCACAGGUAGCUCCCAAUUCAAAAGGGUAGUGCAUAAUAAAUGGCUCACCAAAUUAGCAAUUUAAAGCCCUGAGCAAUUUAAACCCAACAAGUCAAUCAGUACCAAAAAACCACUCCAAACAAUGUAACAGUUAAACUCCACAGGCAAAGGACGUCCAACCAAGUUCACUCAAGCAAACUAGGAGCAAUGCGACUGAUUAAACAAAGCAACGAAUUUCAGCAAAUGGACUCAUAGCCACCCAAAAUCCCAACAAAUGCCCUAAAGAUUUAGCAAUUGAAAUCAAUAGGUAAAAUACUCCAGCAAGUCAAUUAGACGCCACCAACAGCAAUAAUCAAUGGAAGUGGCACAGUAGCCUUCCAAUUCAACAAACAAAUGAAGAAAAUACCCAACCAAAGGCACUUCAAGGGACGCAAGACAGAAAUCAGCAAAGUAGAACUCAAGUGAUACCAAAAAUAACCUCGACAAAGCAGUGAAUUCAACCAAUUUGAAUACGUAGAAUACGGUCAGAAAUGCCUCCCAAAGAUCAACCGAGAGCGACAAAAAAUUGCCCACCCAAAAUCUGUCCAAAUGGUUCCAAUUGGAUAAGAAAUUACACAACUCAACCAACCGAAAUUAGCAAAUGAGCCAAGAAACCGUCAAAACCAGCAAUAGUAGUUCAAAUUUUGGACUACAACUAAAUCAAAACGCUUGGCAGUUUUCGAUCAAGUAGCCCACCAACUAGAACCAAGUGGCAACAAAUGUAGUUAUAAUACCCCAACCAGUACCACUGGUGCAUCCCACAGAUAAUGAAGCAACAUAAACGGCCACCCCAAUCAAGAAAAUGGAAACUUCAAGCACCUAAGGACUAGGCGAAAGUCUCAACAAAGCAACUAUUACAAACAAUAAGCAGUGGUGGUCCGAAUAUUAGUCAAUGCAGAAAUCAUGCAACUCAAAAUCUCGGCAAGUACUCCAAUGAGCUUAGCAAUUGAAAUCACAAAACCGAAUACUCCCCAAACAAGGUACUUAGAGUCAACCAAUGGCAAUACUAAUUCAACAAACCAACCCAGAAAAUUACCCAACUAAGGGUGCAAUAGGGAUCUCCGAACACAGCUCCAAACACCAACAAUUGAACAAAUAGAAACUAAACAGCCCAAAAAUCAAUUAAGUAGAUAAACACAUAAAAACUUCACUCAAAAACUAAUUAAACAUGGAAACAAUGAAAUUUCCCCAAAUUACUUCAGAUUCCACCCCAAAAUUGGACAAAUAGUGUCAACCAACCACAGAUGAUAUCACAGCACUCAAAUCAACCACAAAAAUGUCUGGCCUCAGCUAACAAUUUAAAAAUCUGUCCUCAGCUAAUUAGAACUAAUAAUCUGGCUUCAGCUAAUUAGUGACAGUAAAUUAAAGAAAGAGAUCACCGGAGGUUUUGACUGGCAGUGGGUGAAGUAGAGAGCCGGGGUGACAACAGAGGGAGAGGAAAGCGCGUGGCGAGCACGCGCGUUGGAGAUGGCGGCUGCUGCUGGGAGUUGCGCCAAGAGCAGGGUGGGCGCUGACGGAGGAGGAGCUCGGGUGCGCACUGCUGCUCUGGUGCAGGAGGCGUGGCGCGCAGAGGUUGCUGAUGGCAGCUGCGCGAUGGUGGUCCGCGCACGAAGGCUGCGCGAUGGAGCUGGUGGAGGCUGUCCUGGUCGCGCGCAGGGGCGUGCUUGAGCUGCAAGUGGCGGCGCGCAGAUGCUGUGCGCCUGACUGCUUGGUGCGCAGGUGGCGAGCUGCUGGCGUGCGAGGCAGCCGUGAGCUCUGCAGGAUGGCCGCUUCUGGGCCGCUCUGGACUGCUGCUGCUGGAGCUGGAGCUGGACGCGGAGGAGGCUGGUGAGCGGAGGGGUUGCCUGCGAGGGGGGAUCGCGCGAGGUGUUGGGCGGCGCGCGCGCGGUCUGCGCGCACGGGCUGCGAUCCGUGACUGCGGCUGAGUUGCGCAGAAGGCGGCGCGCAACUGAUGGUUCGCGCGCACGGCAGCGCGCAAAAGCUGCGCGCGGCGGCGUGGAGAUCGCGCAGCUUCCUGAGCUGGCGGCUGCUGCUGGCAGCUGGUGCUCUGGCCGCUCGACUGGGGUGGCGUGCGGCGCGAUGUGGAGCGGCGGCGGACAGCAAGCGAGAAGCGGCGGCCCAGGGAGCAAGGAAAAAGAAGAAAGAAAAGAAAGAAGAAGAAGAAAGAAAAAGAAAAAGAAAAAGAAAAAAAAGAAUAGGUCAACCGAUGCUUCCCUCUUCAUUUUCUCUCUUUUUUUUUUUUUAAACCAAGAGCAUUUUCGUCUUUUUCACUCUUUUUUUUUUUUUUUUUUUAGGCGUGACCAUCUGGCGUGGACACGUUUAACUGCUAUAGAGUCCGCAGAACCUGCACAAAAAUUUCUUUCCUUCAGGCGUGACCACCUGGCGUGGGCACGUCUAACUGCUAAUUUCCUGCCACCAAACAUCAAACUAUUAAUUGACACUAACACUUAACUAAAACUUCAAAAAUGCAUGAAAACUGAAAAAAAUAGUCUUGGGUUGCCUCCCAAGUAGCGCCUUUCUUUAAUGUCUUUGGCUAGACAUGCUAUGCUUUGCUCAUGGAGGAUAAAAUCUUGUGGCUCGUUUCAAUGCUUCAUCUUCAACGUAAUCCUGAUAACCCUCAUAGAUGGAGUAAUCCUUGAGCACUCGAGUUACGGGCUUCCAUGGACUAGUGAAUGGCGCCAAACGAGUCGAUGAUAAUUUGCAUUCUCCAUUCACUCCUCCCUCACUUGCAUUUGCUGGUUUGAGAUAUUUUGCCAUCAUGACUCUUAAUUUAUUCCUGGCAUGAAAUUCAAAAUCGUCUGGUAUAAUAAAAUCAAUCUCACUAACAGGAAUUAACGAAUAAGAGUCAGGAAAAUAUUGAUCAAGGAAUGGAGGAGAUGUCACCGCAUUUGGAGAUAGUUCACUGGAUUCAUUCACUUGAACCAUUUGAUGUUGGGGUCUCAAUUCUUGCUCUUUAACUUUCUUUUCAACUACAUCUUUAGAUUCUUCUUCUCGAGACUCUUGCAGUACCAUGUCAUUUGUCAGAAUAAUUGCACUCUCAUCUUCCUCAUGGUCGAUAAUAGUCGGUGAGGGCAAUUCUUCAUAAACUGGAGAAAUCAAUUUGCUCGUUUUAAAUGCCCAUUCACGCCUUGCUUCUUUCAUCUCUUCACUCAUCCUUUGUGUCUCCUGCUGAAUUCGAGAUACAUUAGCAGCUAGUAAUUCUAUCAUCUCUUCAAGAGACAUACCUGACACGGAUGAUGGUUCUUGAGACUCAUACUGCUGAAAAUUCAUUGGCUGCUGAAAAUUCAUUGGCCCUGUUGUAUAAUCAUAACUGGAGUUAUCCCACCAUCCUUGAUCAUACCCGUUUGGAUUAGAGUUAUACCACGUUUGAGACCAGGGUGAAAAAUCUCCAUAAUUAUUGAGUGGGACACUCAGAUUAUCUUGAUAUUCGGGGCACAUACUGGUUGAAUGAUCCCUGGCAAAACAAAUUUUACAGGUUGCAGCAGCCAUUCUUUCUCUAAUAGAGUUUACUGCCUCUUUAUAUGCAAACUUAGCAAAAAUACUAGUCUCAUCGCCUUCCCCGGAAACAAAAUCCAGUCUAUCACCAAAAUAUGGAGUGUUAGCAGCCAUAAAAAAUAAAAAAUAAAAAGAAAAAAAAUAAGAGAAAAAUAAAUUAAAAAAAAUGAAAACAAGAUAAACUCAAAAAGAAACAAAUUAAUCAGGCACCAGUCCCCGGCAACGGCGCCAAAAAUUGACAGGCGUCAAACCUGUGCAAUAAUAAAUACUUGCUUAAAUAAAAUACAAAUUCUGUAUAUAGCGGUAAGCAGGGUCGAAUCCACAGGGACUGGGGAUAAUUUAAUUUCUUUUCAAGUUCCAGAUAUGGGGGGUUUUUGAAAAUGAUAGUAACUAAAUUACUUGGAAUAAAUUAAAAUAAAAUAAAAUAAUUACAACUCAAAUAACUAAUUAUCACAAUAAAAAUAAUAAUGGACGAACUCUAGCCAAGAGACAACUUCGGAGAUGGUUCACUUAAUUUGAUCACAGAUGCAAGGAUUAUUCCAGUUACUAUCUGAUAAAUUAGUUAUAAUUGUCAUACACGCGAUAAACAACCAACUCUUCCUCAAUUUGUCGAUAGCCAAGGUACGACCGUUGACUAUUUCUCUAAUCAGGAAAUAACCCUAGGUACGACCAUAGAAGUUCAAUUCCCUAAUUGCAUGAAUAAUUAGAAGAGCCUAAUUCUAACCAAUCAACACGCUACGAGGGUCUCUUUAAGUUAGCCUGUCUAUCUCCCUGACACAAACCCAAUCAUGCCAGUUGCCACCAGUUUAGAAUAAUUAAACAAUUACGGAUUUAACUACCCUAAUUGGCUUCAGGUUAUUGAAUUAAUCUAGAAUCCGGGCCCUGGAUAAUCGAAUAAUAAAACAACCAUAUGAACAUAAAGCAGAAGAUAGACAAAUACCAGUGAAUAAUGAAAAUAAAUAAAAACUAAUUCGAUCUCACAAAUUUAGUAGAACCAAAUCCUUCGUUGUUCUUGGCCAGACAAACUUAGCCACGCCUCAUGAGAAAAUCUUCAAGUAAUUUCAUUGAGGUCCAGGCCAUCAAAAGAGCCAUGAAAGAAACGAAACUAAAACUAUGCUAAAAACUGUCUAAACUAAAACUAUUGAUUGAUAAGCUUUCUCUGCACGUUUGUCUCCCUUUUUAAAGCCAAAAGGAAGUCUAAUGCUAUCUCUAGUGGUCCCCACACCAAAUUCAAAGUCUUGUACGUUUCUUUUCCUAGAGUCCAGAUGACUCAUGCUUCUUAUCCGUGGUCCCCGCACAUGUGGACAAAGACUCCCAAGUACUUGUUGUUCCAAGUCUCUCUACGUUGCUUUCUUUGAAAAGCCCAAAUGACUAAAUGCCUUGCACUAGCUUGUGGUCCCCACCAAUUCAAGGACCUAAAGGUUGAAGCCCUUAGAAGUCUGCAUUUUUCCAUACAAGUCCCUCCUUUUUGGUAAUUUUCUGCUUCACUCCUGAAAUUGAUUCCAAAUACCAAAUAUGAGUAAAUAUCAGCAAUUAACACAAUAUUUGUCAGGGAUAGAAAGGGAAAUCAAUAAUAAAUUUACUAACAAAUUAUACCCUAUCAAAUACUAAAUCAAAAAAUGUCCCCAUGUCCCUAAGAACAAAAUUCAUCAUUGCUCUAGCACUCUUAGAAAUAGAGACAUAAUCUGCCUUCAUAGUAAAACUAUAAUCAAUAAGUAAAUAAAAAAGAGAACCAAUGAGUUUUUUAAUUAUUAGACAUAAUAGUCUAUUCUUUAUCUUCCAACUCUCAAUUUCAUUUUUUCCCUAUAUCACUACGACCUUUUUCAUCUUCUACUAAUUUGAUAAUAAAAUCCACAGUCUGCACCUUGUUAAUCUGGUAACUUCAAUUGGCUAACAUAUGUAAAGAGUAAAGCUUUUUUUUUUUUUUUUAAAGCAAGGGUCUCAAAUUUUAUAGUAAGAAAGAGAUAGGAAGACAAAAAAGUAUAGAUAAAUUUUAGAGAUGAUAAAAAAUUGAUUGCGGUGUGGUUGGUAACAAUGGAGUGCGGUAUUUGAUGAGAGGAAGAAGCGGUUUAGGAGAAAAGAGAGAAGAGUAUGAAAGAGAGAUGGAGGGAGGGAGGAAAAGAUAAAAAUUAGAAAAUUGAUAGGGAUGUUCUAUAAAAUUAAGAAAUGGCACGUAGAAUAAUAAGAAAUAUUUUUCGGAUUUAAAUGCCGCUUUAUGAAUUAACUAUUAAGUUGAGGACACCAAAGGAGGUUUAUGUAAUUAUUGAAACCUCGAAGGAGUUGAGUGAAGUUGUUAGAAACCUCAAGGAAGGUUUCUGAAAUCAUCCCUUAUUCAUAGAGCAGAACAAAUAAAAGAAAUAAAAAAGGGGUGAAGAAACAUUUUUUCAGAUCUGUGAUGGAGUAUAACAUAACUAUGUAGAAAAUAAGUCUCUUCUCCUUUACCAAAAUUUGGAGUCUAGGGACUUGUGAAUUUAUGUCAUACAUAUAUAUAUAUAUAUAUAUAUAUAUAUAUAUAUAUAUAUAUAUAUAUAUAUAUAUAUAUAUAUAUAUCUUUCUUCUCAGAAACAAAACUCUUCUUCCUUGGGAGGAAGACCAAUUGGUCUUCGUUCGCCCUAUGUUUUUUUUUUUUAUUAUUAUUUGUAAUAAAGUCCUUCCUAAGUUUUUCUUCUUUUCUACGGAUUCUUAGUAAGAGUUCUGGUUAUUUUUAUAUUUCUUUUAUUGAUAUAAGUUUUUUCCAAUUUAUAUGUUAGAUUGGGAUUUCUUAUAUUUAUCUCGUCAAAUCUCACAUUAACACCUAGGGGAAAGCAAGCAGUGCGAUUUUUUUUUUUUCGUUUACGAAGCAACAAUGAGAAUAUUAAGUAGCGUGGUUAGAAACAUACACAGAUGAUCUCAGAAUUAUAAGUGUUUUAUCUAUUAAGCAUUUUUUAAAGUUUCACAAUGUAAUAUUUUCUUGACUUUUCAAAUCUAUGGUAUCUAGUUUUGUUCUUUAAAUGUAUUUGUAUCUAUGUAUUGUUGAUGUAAUGUCCGCCAUUAGUGUAGAUUUAAUGAAUGAUGAUAUUUUUAUUUAAAAAAUAAAAACGCUUAGUUCAAUCAACUGUUUUCUCUAGUAUGCCUAAUUAAAGAGAAUUAAUGAAUCAAUAGAUAUUUUAGUUUUAUCCAUUUUUGCAUCUAACUAUCCUCUAAUCAAUUUUACUUAUAAUUUCUCUCUAUUCUAAUAACUCCUAUCUCUUUUAAUAAAUUUGAAUUAUUUUUUAUCCAUAUAUGGUGUAACUUUUCUUAGUAUGAAUUUAAUUAUUACAUUGGUAAGUUUAUUAACUUUGAUAGAAAAUAAUAACUCAUUCAUGUAAAAAUAAAUUCUGAAAUUUUUUGCUUUGUCUUGAGUUCAAAACGAAUAUGAGUAGUACAUGAUCAUAUUCAUGAGAGAAUUUAAAUACUAUCCCAAAGAAUACCUAUUAUAUAGUAAUUUUUUUUGCGCAUUAUACUAUUUAAUGAAUAUUAUAAUACUCUAAAAUAUUUAUGUAUAAAAGUUUCUAAAACUAAUAUAGGAGUUAAAUGUUUGAAACAUAAUAAUUUUUUAAAUGUAAAUAUGACUAAUAUAUAUAAAAAAAUUGUUUAUGCCUUGUAUGGAUUCAUAACUAAUCACAAUAAAAAAUAUUUCUUCCUCGAAACAAAAAUUCUAUUCAGUUUAAAUUCUUCCACACAUCACGGCCAAACAACUCCACCACCAUGUGCCACUUACCAGAACAUUGACCAAUAGCAUGAAACUACGAAUGAUGGGAUGGAGGAAUGGGAGGUUUGGCAGCUCAAUCAUUUUUAAUCAUUGUCAAUUAUUCCAAAACAAAGUCAUCAGGCAUUUAUUCCUUCCCAUAUCUUUGUGUUUCGCAGCACCAAAUCUGGCGCCUUGGAUUAUGCAAUACUCCUCAAUCAUGAUCCCUGUAUAAGAACCUUUUCUUUACUUUUCUUUUUUUUUUUUUAAGAAAAAAAUAUGUGAAAAUUUUCAACACACAAAAAAUGAUUAACUCAUACUUUUAACAAAUUUAAAAAUUAACUCAUAUACAUUUUUUUACUACAAGCGGGUUGAAUGUAUAUCACACGUGUGAAAAGAUAGAGAUAUCAAUGUAAGUUAUGUAUCAUACCACUAUCAUGUAUUUACGCCUGUCAAUGUAUAAAACUUUUAUAUCAAUAAUAUUAAAAAAAUUAAUCCAUAAUUUAUAAGGAAAACCAUACAAAUAGUUUAUCACAUUUCCUUUAUUCCUUUUAAUUUUUUUCGCACUCAAAAUGUACUUCAUUUUGUUCUCUCACAUCUUCCAAAGUGUUGCAUAUCUGGCAAAGUCCAGUUUUUGUCUUAAAAGUACAUGAACACAUCACAUGACCAAAAUUUUGGAACAAAAAUGGAGCACUUCUUUUUCUUUUUCUUUUUCUUUUUUUAAAAAAAAAAAACUGUUUUCUAAACCCAUUGAGAAUGCUAACUUUUUUCCCUUAAUUUGCUUCUUUUUUUUCCCUUAUUAAAUGUGCAUAAAGCGAAAAGCUACAUCUCACAGAACCAACAAAAAGGCGAGGAAACAAAAGAAAAAGAGGAGAAAACGUGUAGAUGCGUUGAUGAAAAAAGAAAAGAUGAUGGAACAAAAUGUGCAGCCGAAAAAUGCACAGCUUUUUUAGAGCAUCUUAUAACAAUCAACGAGCAUUUCUUGACAGGAGAAGCAAAUUGACAGGCUACUUGUCUCCAUAAAAUCCAAAUGACUUAUGUCCGAUGAAGAAGAAAAGGCACAUGAGAGAGAGGAAUAAAAGAAAGCAAGGGAUAACGCAGCUAGACCUCGUUUGUUUUUAUCCAAAAUCCAAAAAAUGACUGUCCUUGGACAGCAAAAGUGAUUGUAAUUAGAGGGCUCUAAUUGCAUAUUCUGAUAUAAAGGAUUUAAUCUCAUGUUUCAAGGAGCUAACUAUAUAUUUUGUACAUCGCCAAUGUAAUCAAACUGCUGACUUUAUGACUAGUUAUUUCAAUAGGGUGGAUAAAGUUAUUUUUGAGUCAAAUUUUCCCCUGAUCUUCUUAGAAUUGUAGAGGAAGAUAAGAGGGAAAAGUUAACGGUUAGACUGUAAAUUCUUAUUUUUGUUAUAUAAAACUCGUCAAUUCUCCAAAAAAAAAAAUCCAAAAAAUGACCCCAAAUAGGAGUUUAACGAACCAGGCAGCCCCCCAUUUGUAUGAUAUGAACCGAGUCUGAACCGGUUCUGGAUCUUCUGUUACACUUUCAUGUGUUAUACCCCGUUACACUAUAAAUCGCGUAAUAGUUGGUAUAUCUUUUCAUUGAGUUGGUGUAAAUUAAUACUUGGUGUAAAUUGUGUUAGAGUUAUCACCAACUUGAGAAGUGUAACGAGAGGUUUAACGCCCAUUUGUGUAAUACUACAGAGUAUUGGUGGUUAUCUGAACCUAACUCGAGUAGCUUAAACACCCUUAAAUAAGCUUGAGUUCAAGAAACGAUAUGUGAGGUUUGAAAGUUAAUCGUAGUACUGUUAUUAUGCGAUGCAAGAAGUGGGAUAAUAUCAUAUGUUCUAAUCAUCUGGUUUGAUAUUUAUUCUGAUGAAUUAAUUUGGUUGCUAGUUUCAUGGAAAUAAGAAGCUCUCUAAGAAGUUAAUUAACAAGUUGUAAGACCAAUCUUUAAAUUUUGUAAUUUUAUUACUCUGUUUUCCUACAUAUGAAGUAUUCUCUUUUUAUAUGGACUAUCUCAUGGAUAAAUUUACUUAUUUGAGAAAAAAAAUUACUGGCAGCACAACUUUUGUUGUUCAAAAGCUGCAGAAACGAAAUUAUCUCUCUCUCUCUAUAUAUAUAUAUAUAAAAAGUAGGGGGUUUGAAUCAAGAACCUCAUCCUUACAAUUCUUUCCACCAUACUAUCCAAUCCAACCCAGCCCUCCCCAGUUGUAUUCUUUCAUAUGAUUUCUGUCACUAGAGCAUGAUGAAAUUAUGAUUAUUUUAUAAAAAAAAAAGCUACAAAAAAGGUUAUAAACAAGGAAUGUUGGAAAGAAUUUCAUGUAGAAAGUUACCAGGCAACUAGAAUAUAACGUCUUAGGUUUAAUUACACUCUAAAAAUGGAUUAAUCAUUGUUUUUUUUUUUUGAAUGAGGAGGAUUAAAUAUAAGAUCUUUGCAAGGGAAUGGGAAUAUAAAUACACAGACAUGAGAGAACAACAUAUUUCGCUAGAACAUUUUUUUUCCUCUAAUAGGAGAAGGGUGGAAUUUAAAAAGUGGAGAGGGCUGCACGAUUUCUAAUUCUUGGAACUUCAAUCAUUCAUUGGAACUCUUCUUUAAGAAAGACUUUGUUCUUCCACAAAUCACGGGUUGAUAACAAUAAUGUAAUUUAACUUAAUAAAUCAUUUUAUUGCCCAUCUAAGUCUCCUUUUAGCUGGCAGUAAGUAUAGGUUUAAAAGUCUAGAAUGUGACUUUUUGUGAAGAAAAUUCACUAAGUAUGCAUGUUUUUUAUAAGCUUUUAGCUCAAGCUUAUGGGGGACAACUUUGCUGCACAAUAAAUCAAGAUAGGGAUGUAAAAAUUGUUAUGCUUUAACGCAUUAUUUAAAGAUUAUUCAACAAACUUUGUGCAAAUUUUUCUUAAAGCCGACCGGAGGAAAUUGCACAACAAUUUCUGUAACAGUUAAUCCAGACAUGGAAAAGCAUUAUAUAAAACCAGCUAAGAGUACACUAGCACAGAAAAGCGCCGUAAAAAAAAAAAUAUAUAUAUUUGUUUCAACUAGUAAACGUCAUUUCUGCCCACUUUGGAUGCAUACUCAGCCCACAUAUUCGUACAUGUUACUUUUUUUUUUUUUUUUUGUUCGUGUCUAAAGAUGUAGAUAACCUAUUAAAUUAGAAUGAGGUGCCAAUCUGAAGAAGGGAUUUACACGAUUAAAGAAAGUGGACUUAGAAAGAAAAAGUAGCAGAUUUUACUGAGCUAAAAAUGUGGACUUGGAUGAAGAAUCAUGACUGUAUAUGACUAAAUUAGCAUUGCUAGCUAUAUUAAACGAAACACCAAUACGAGAUUUCAAAACGAAUAAUACGGACCCUAAUAUUAACUUCAUUCAUAAUCAUUUUUUUUUUGGUUAGAAAAUUGCUUUCUUUAGGAAAAACCGGUAUUGGAUGAGGGGAAGUGUAUUGUGGGGGUCUUUGGAAUCGAAAACCUUUUGACCUAGGAUAGUGGGGGGAGUGGGACAAAAGCUUUGGGGCCCGACAAGUCAGUCAGCACGCGGAAAACACACGACUUCCAUAAAGCGUGGCGACUUCCAAAAAGCGUGACGCAAGUGUUUUACUUCAUAAACUAAAGACGUAGCCACGCUAACAGACAGCCCAUCAACAGCAUGAUGCCCAAUCUCCUCUGGCUCAGAGUACUACUGGUCACUUUUGUUCAUCCAUAUCUAUAAAGCCAAGAAGCCAACAAUAAACGUGCAAAUCUGCUGCUUUUGGAUUUGGACCACCAAAAAAUAUGGCGAAAUGGGGGAGAAGGAGCUGGGAAAUAGAGAGAAAUUAUGAUGUUUGACCGAUUUGUGUCCAUUGCUUUACAAUUUUUGAUGCUUCAUUCAACUUAACGAGUCUUGUGACUUCUCAACCAGAAGGUUAUUUGGAGACCGACUGUGGCUCAGACUGGAAGCUUUUGGCAAAAAUCUUCCACUUCUACUCGUGAAUUAUUAUUGACAAGACAUUAUUCAACUUUGGUGGAGGGAGUUGGCAGUUGUGUCAUUCCACUACGAGUGAUUUCUAUGCAAAUCAAUUGUGGCUUAAAUCGUGCUGGCAUUAUGAUGUGGCUGGAGCCCAGACUGUAAAUUUCGAAAAUAAAAGAAUUAAAAAUGAACGGCACAGAUCAGAUCGACCUGACCUGAUUUAAUCUAAUUUGACCGUAAAUUAGACUCUGCAAUUGCUAAUCUUUGUACCGCUUCUCGGUAGCGCCCCCCUCCUCAGCUCCGUUAAAUGUAGAGGUGGUAAAUUAAUCCACCUAACUAAAUUUAUCCAUAUCCGUCCAUAAAUAGAUGUGUAUGAGUAUCUUAAAUUUUUGUAUAUGGGUAUAAAUGGGUUAUCAAACUCAAUUAACUCAUUUAGAAUUCUCUUCCUCCCAAGUCUCUUCUUUUUCCCCACCCAUUUUUUAAAAUUUUUUUCAUUCUAUCAUGAUGUUAACUACUUUUGUUUCAUUAUUAUUAUUAUUAUUAUUAUUUGUUGGUUUUAUCUUAUUAUUUUAUUUUCUCUUAGUUUGUUAACUUGCUCAUUUUUCAGCAUUACCAAUUUAUGAUAAAUUUUAGUCUAUUUUCUUAUUUUUCUAAAAUGAAAUUUUAAAUUUAUAUAUCAAAAAAUUUUAGGGGUUCAAAAUUUUUGGAUUAAGUUUUUAUAGUAAUUAGUUCAAUUUUUUAUAUUCUUAUUAUUCAAUUAUUAAAUAAUAGGUAAUUUUGUGACAUAGAGUAUAAAUGAAAAAAAAAGGUAAUUAGGCUUAUUGAACAUUAUAAGUAAAUAUUGAAAACUAAUGAUGGGUACAAAGAGCGGUAUAAAUUGAUAACUUAGUUUGCAAAAAUGAAUUUAAAUGAGUUUACAAAAGGUUAAAAUAAAUGGGUAAUUGGGUUACCCAAUUCAUUUUUUGACUUACCCAUUUAUAUCUAUCUAAUUAAAUAGGUAUAAAUGGGUUGACUCACUUAUACCCAUUACUCAUUUUAUCUAACCCAAACCCGACCAAGUCACCCAUUUUGACACCUCUAGUUAAAUGUCAAAUUGCUAAAAUCUCCUACUUCAAGAUCAAGGAGGAGGAAUUUAUGCUUCUUUCCUUAGGGAACGAGGCAUUGCUCAUUUUUUUUUUGGUGAUAAAAUAAUUGUAACUGACAAUUCUCCUUAGCCAAACAUUUUCUAAACAAUAGCCACAAAUAUUUGUUGCUGCUUCUAUUGAAUUAGCAGGCACAUUAGAUGCACAAGGUAUUAUUUUUAAGUUAGGAAAUGACAAGAUGCAAGUCCACGAACAUCCAUGGUAAAUGUCUAAAAAAAAAGAGUUGGCUUGAUCAUAGAGAACAUUUUAUCACAUUCUGAAGGCUAAAAUUAGACCUUAAAACUAAUGUUAGGCACUACUUCCAUAAUUGUCACCGUCUAGCGCAAAUUACCUUCUUGAAUUUUAUCAUUUUCAGGAUCAAUUUCGAACCCAAAAAAAAAAAAGAAAAAGAAAGAGAGACAUUUUUCCUCAAACAUGUGCCCUUUAUUGAUUUUAAACUAUUUAAAAUGAAACUACAAAUUCCCACUUUGGAAGAUAGAUUGGAAAAUUGAUGUCAAUUUUGCCAUGCUACAAAUGCCUUCAACGUGGUGAACAACAUCCACAUGCAAUUUCCCAAAGCAUGGAACAAGAAGAACUGUUUGAUGAAAAGAAAUAGACAUCCUAGAACCAACAUAAACAGCCAGCCUUUGUGCCCAAAAAAUAAAAACAGAGGGAAAAAAAACAAGAAAAUUAAAGGCCAGUGGCCCCAGUUCUCAAUGUCAAUGUUGAAAACUUUUCCUGAACAGUUUCCUUAGCCAAAUUGUUAAAGUGGACUCUUUCAGACUGCAACAAUGCAUGGCUGCUGCCUGCAGGUUGAAGCCCAAAGCAAUUCCUUCCUAAACGCCCAAAUUACCCUAAGCAUUUCAGGCCCAAAUAAAUGGAUAUAAAUUAGGUCCAAUCUACAUGUUCCCCGCUUGGAUUCUGUUCUUAUUUAGCAAAAUUAAUGUCCUUACAACCCAACUUAGUUGGUAUCGACAUUGAUCAAGUGAUCAUAAGAUUCUUAGUUUCGAUACAAGAAAUUGUAAAAUCAAUUUUUCUAAACAUUUUCUCUCAUUUUGCAUAAAACUUGUCAAGCAUGUUUUGUAAUUAGACACCUUUUAAUUAAUUUUUAAUUUGUCAAUUACACAAUAGAUGGAACACUUUACCAGAUAGCCUUUUCCGAUUGUGAUUAUCAGAGCUUUUCUUGAAAAUGAAGUUUUGAGGGUUAAUAAUUGCAACCAUCUAGCUUCUAGGAUAAAUUCGAUAAUAGAUAAUUCUACAUUGACUUGCUUGCCUUCUGCCCAACUAAUAUUUGGACAAAUUUCAAAAAUUAUAUUAAAAAAAAAAAAGGGUUGAGAGGCACUAUGAAAUCAGAAAAAGUUCAUAAACACAUUUUCAAAGUUGUCCUCAUACUUGACAUGGAGAAAGAAGAACUUCUCAUACCGGUGGAACAACAAGAGAAACCAUUACAACUUUGAUUUAGUACAACCAAGCAUAAAUCCAGAUCCUGCUAGUAAUUCUAUUCACAGUUUUACAGCUUAUAUACAAGUGCCAUCUCAUUGGAAUAAGCUCUAGCACAAUGACAAAUGCUGAUUCACAAAUUUCUAUUCUUUUCUGCUUUCAUCUGAGUAAGAUUCUGCUAAAGUCGAAUCUGUAAACUCCAGUAUUACAUCAUCAAGGUAGCUGAUACAACUACACCAUACUAGCUGUUACCUUGAUCUACAUUAGGAUGAUUAUCAGGGACACAAUCAGCAUCGUGUUCGUUUAGAUUAUUUUCCACUUCACCAGGAUCAUCAUCGGAUUCAGAUACUGAGCUAGAAUCCAGUCCUGUUUCUAGACAUUCAAGUUGCACACAUUCAGGUAGUGGAUCAUGCGGUGAAUCACGUGGAGAACUAAUACUUGAUUCACGACUCCUGGUUGUUGGUG